rnacentral:rRNA from 1 species
UGGUGGAGUGAUUUGUCUGGUUAAUUCCGUUAACGAGCGAGACCUUAUUCUGCUAAAUAGGAACAAAUAACUUGUUUUGUUUGGACAACUUCUUAGAGGAACUUUGUGUGUUCAACACAAGGAAGUUUGAGGCAAUAACA